rnacentral:rRNA from 1 species
GGGACUGAGACACGGCCCAGACUCCUACGGGAGGCAGCAGUGGGGAAUUUUGCGCAAUGGACGAAAGUCUGACGCAGCGACGCCGCGUGAGGGAUGAAGGCCUUCGGGUUGUAAACCUCUUUCGGCAGGGAAGAAGCGAAAGUGACGGUACCUGCAGAAGAAGCACCGGCUAACUACGUGCCAGCAGCCGCGGUAAUACGUAGGGUGCAAGCGUUGUCCGGAUUUAUUGGGCGUAAAGAGCUCGUAGGCGGUUCGUCACGUCGGGUGUGAAAACUCAGGACUCAACCCUGAGCCUGCACUCGAUACGGGCGAACUGGAGGACGGUAGGGGAGAC